rnacentral:rRNA from 1 species
UGCCGGCGAGCGGCGGACGGGUGAGUAAUGUCUGGGAAACUGCCUGAUGGAGGGGGAUAACUACUGGAAACGGUAGCUAAUACCGCAUAACGUCGCAAGACCAAAGAGGGGGACCUUCGGGCCUCUUGCCAUCAGAUGUGCCCAGAUGGGAUUAGCUAGUAGUGGGGUAACGGCUCACCUAGGCGACGAUCCCUAGCUGGUCUGAGAGGAUGACCAGCCACACUGGAACUGAGACACGGUCCAGACUCCUACGGGAGGCAGCAGUGGGGAAUAUUGCACAAUGGGCGCAAGCCUGAUGCAGCCAUGCCGCGUGUAUGAAGAAGGCCUUCGGGUUGUAAAGUACUUUCAGCGGGGAGGAAGGUGCUGAGGUUAAUAACCUCAGCAAUUGACGUUACCCGCAGAAGAAGCACCGGCUAACUCCGUGCCAGCAGCCGCGGUAAUACGGAGGGUGCAAGCGUUAAUCGGAAUUACUGGGCGUAAAGCGCACGCAGGCGGUCUGUCAAGUCGGAUGUGAAAUCCCCGGGCUCAACCUGGGAACUGCAUUCGAAACUGGCAGGCUAGAGUCUUGUAAGGGGGGUAGAAUUCCAGGUGUAGCGGUGA